CAAAUUAUGCUUUAAGAUAGGAUUUUCAUUUACAUUGAAGAGAUUGUUGUGCAAUUCAACAUAAUUUGA
rnacentral:tRNA from 1 species